rnacentral:rRNA from 1 species
AAUCAACGCUGGCGGCGUGCCUCAGACAUGCAAGUCGAACGCGAAAGUUUCCUUCGGGAGACAAGUAGAGUGGCGCACGGGUGAGUAACACGUAGGUAAUCUACCUUUGGAUGGGGAAUAACAACCGGAAACGGUUGCUAAUACCGCAUAAUGCAGCGGCACCUAAUGGUGACAGUUGUUAAAAGCGGGGGAUCGAAAGACCUCGCGUCUGAAGAGGAGCCUGCGGCGGAUUAGCAGUUGGUAAGGUAAUGGCUUACCAAGGCUACGAUCCGUAACCGGCCUGAGAGGGCGGUCGGUCACACUGACACUGACAUACGGGUCAGACUCCUACGGGAGGCAGCAGUCGGGAAUUUUGGGCAAUGGGCGAAAGCCUGACCCAGCAACGCCGCGUGAAGGA